AUUGAACGCUGGCGGCAUGCCUAACACAUGCAAGUCGAACGGCAGCACGGUCUAGCUUGCUAGACUGGUGGCGAGUGGCGCACGGGUGAGUAAUGCGUAGGAAUAUGCCGUCAAGUGGGGGAUAACUUGGGGAAACUCAAGCUAAUACCGCAUAAUCUCCAAGUAGGAAAGCUGGGGACCUUCGGGCCUGGCGCUUUAAGAUUAGCCCGCGUUCGAUUAGCAAGUUGGUAGGGUAAGGGCCUACCAAGGCGACGAUCGGUAGCUGGACUGAGAGGAUGAUCGGCCACACUGGUACUGAGGAACGGCCCAGACUCCUACGGGAGGCAGCAGUGGGGAAUAUUGGACAAUGGGGGAAACCCUGAUCCAGCAAUGCCGCGUGUGUGAAGAAGGCCUGAGGGUUGUAAAGCACCUUCAGUGGGGAGGAGGAUUGGUAGGUUAAGAGCUAAUCAAUUGGACGUUACCCACAUAAGAAGCACCGGCUAACUCCGUGCCAGCAGCCGCUGUAACAC
rnacentral:rRNA from 1 species